rnacentral:rRNA from 1 species
UACGGAGGGUGCAAGCGUUGCUCGGAAUUAUUGGGCGUAAAGGGCAAGUAGGUGGUCUCAUUUGUCUGGGGUGAAAGCCUUGAGCUUAACUCAAGAAGUGCCUUAGAAACGGUGAGACUCGAGUUCUGGAGAGGGUCGUGGAAUUCCCGGUGUAGCGGUGAAAUGCGUAGAGAUCGGGAGGAACACCUGAGGCGAAGGCGGCGACCUGGACAGAUACUGACACUCAACUGCGAAAGCGUGGGGAGCGAACAGG